rnacentral:rRNA from 1 species
AUACAGAGGUCCCAAGCGUUGUUCGGAUUCACUGGGCGUAAAGGGUGCGCAGGUGGGUUGGCAAGUUCGAUGUGAAAGCCCCGGGCUUAACCCGGGAAUGGCAUUGGAAACUGCUGAUCUGGAGGAUCGGAGGGGGGACUGGAAUUCUUGGUGUAGCAGUGAAAUGCGUAGAUAUCAAGAGGAACACCAGUGGCGAAGGCGAGUCCCUGGACGAUACCUGACACUGAGGCACGAAAGCCAAGGGAGCAAACG